rnacentral:rRNA from 1 species
GAUGAACGCUGGCGGCGUGCUUAACACAUGCAAGUCGAACGGAAAGGCUCCUGCUUGCAGGGGUACUCGAGUGGCGAACGGGUGAGUAACACGUGGGUGAUCUGCCCUGCACUUCGGGAUAAGCCUGGGAAACUGGGUCUAAUACCGGAUAGGACGAUGGUUUGGAUGCCAUUGUGGAAAGUUUUUCGGUGUGGGAUGAGCUCGCGGCCUAUCAGCUUGUUGGUGGGGUAAUGGCCUACCAAGGCGUCGACGGGUAGCCGGCCUGAGAGGGUGUACGGCCACAUUGGGACUGAGAUACGGCCCAGACUCCUACGGGAGGCAGCAGUGGGGAAUAUUGCACAAUGGGCGCAAGCCUGAUGCAGCGACGCCGCGUGGGGGAUGACGGCCUUCGGGUUGUAAACUCCUUUCGCUAGGGACGAAGCGUUUUGUGACGGUACCUGGAGAAGAAGCACCGGCUAACUAC